rnacentral:rRNA from 1 species
GGAUAAACCAUGCGAGUUGAAUGGGAUACCUAAAUAUCCCAUAGCAAACUGCUCAGUAACACAUGAUCAACUUACCCUAUGGAGAAAAAUAACCUCGGGAAACUGAGGAUAAUGUUUCAUAGUUGAAUAGGCUUGGAAAAGUUUUUCAAUGAAAGGGAUAAGAAAAAUGGUUCUUAUUUGCCAUAGGAUAGGAUCGUGGUCGAUUAUGGUUGUUGGUGAGGUAACGGCUCACCAAGCCGAUAAUCGAUAGGGGCCGUGAGAGCGGGAGCCCCGAGAUGGGUACUGAGACAACGACCCAGGCCUUACGAGGCGCAGCAGGUGCGGAACCUCCGCAAUACACGAAAGUGUGACGGGGUUACCCAAAGUGUUCAUUAUUGAACUGUGGUAGGUGAGUAAUGUCCCCUACUAGAAAGGAGAGGGCAAGGCUGGUGCCAGCCGCCGCGGUAAAACCAGCUCUUCAAGUGGUCGGGAUGAUUAUUGGGCUUAAAGUGUCCGUAGCCGGUUUAGUAAGUUCCUGGUAAAAUCGGGUAGCUUAACUAUCCGUAUGCUAGGAAUACUGCUAUACUAGAGGGCGGGAGAGGUCUGAGGUACUAUAGGGGUAGGGGUGAAAUCCUAUAAUCCUUAUAGGACCACCAGUGGCGAAGGCGUCAGACUGGAACGCGCCUGACGGUGAGGGACGAAAGCCAGGGGAGCGAACCGGAUUAGAUACCCGGGUAGUCCUGGCCGUAAACGAUGCAUACUAGGUGAUGGCACGGCCAUGAGCCGUGUCAGUGCCGUAGGGAAACCGUUAAGUGUGCCGCCUGGGAAGUACGGUCGCAAGGCUAAAACUUAAAGGAAUU